rnacentral:misc_RNA from 1 species
GCCGCACCACGGCGUGACUUCUUCAAUCAUGCUCGUGAUCUGCACGGCGAAAAGCAAUUGAGUGGAAUUACUUGAUUGCGUUAAUUUCAGGGAGAGCUGUCCAAAAUUUCGACUUCAUAGAUCGAUGCAGCACACGCAGAAGACACUGCGCGAGGGUACCACGCCACGCCUGCCGAGCGUCCGCCCGGGCAUUCAGCUCCAGCUGCAGCCCCCCCUGGUGUGCGAACGCGUCCUCCUCGACCCCAACAUGGGACCCCAGAGGCGGAGGAGGGCAGACGCCCACGACGAUGACACCAAGGCCAACAGCAAGCGGCUACGUACCACCCAUGUCGGGUCCCGACGCAAUCCCUUUUCAAGUGAAAGUGCCGCCCCACCUUCCUUCUCUCUGAAGCGGUGCCUAGCACUCCUACAGGAGUAUGCCUCUGUCAACGAGCCCAAGGUGAUGGGGCCCGACGGAAUGGAAAAAUUCUGCGAGGACAUUGGUGUGGAACCCGAAAAUAUUGUGAUGUUGGUGCUGGCCUGGAAGAUGGAUGCCAAGCAGAUGGGCUUCUUCACCGAGGAGGAGUGGGUACAAGGACUCUCGGACCUCCAGUGCGACUCAAUCCAGAAGAUCCAGGGCAAGCUGGACUACCUCAAAUCCCUGUUGAAUGACACCACCCACUUCAAGAGCAUCUACAGAUAUGCGUACGACUUCGCAAGGGACAAGGACCAGCGAAGCAUGGACAUGGCAACAGCCAAGGCAAUGCUUCAACUGCUGCUGGGCAAGCAUUGGCCCCUCUGUGCCUCUUUCCACCAGUUCCUCGAGCAGUCCAAAUACCGGGUGAUCAACAAGGACCAAUGGUGUAAUGUGCUGGAGUUCAGCCGGACCAUCAAGCCGGACCUUUCCAACUACGAUGAGGACGGAGCCUGGCCCGUCUUGUUGGACGAAUUCGUGGAAUGGCUGCACUCGAGGCAUCCUCACCUCCGUCGGACGCCCCAAGAACUCGAAGACGACUCCCUCCCCUCGUUCAGUGCCUGCUCCAGCUGAGGGGGGGAGUGGACAUCCCAGUGCCCUCCCCUCUCCCCCCCCCCCCCCCCCCCCUCACCCCUCCCCAAAACUAGGACUACUCCUUUAAUUUGCAUCCCCUUCCCUCAAAGUUUGGUUCUACAAUAACAACAGUAACAACCAAGUCCAUGCCAACACCAUGGCUGAAGCUGCUACCCCCCCCCCCCCCCCCUUUUUUUUUUUUUCUUUAGUGAGUCUUCAAAUUUUUUUUUCUUGCUCCGACAGUUGAGUUUUGUCUGUACUACCUCCGUGCUGGACACCGUAUUUCUUUUUUGUGUGUGCGUGUGUGUGCAUACUUUUGGUUUACAAGAACGUUGCCACUCUUUUAGUCGAAGAUGGAAAUCGCCGUGCCGUGGAAUGCAUUUAAGGGGGCCGGCCACGAUCCGCGGCUGCAGUCAUCGAAGAGGGUUGCAAGUGCGUCGCGUGACAGCUCGGGUGCAACAAUUCCUGCUGGCUUCGUCCACACUCUUCGACGUAACCGGCGGGAUGCGGCCUGUGCGGUCGAAACUGACGUCGUACCGUAGACGUGCAAACGACCACAACCUUCCUAUCCCUGCAUCUCUCCUUCCCAUUCCCUUUUGUAGUUCUCGAUCCAACUUUCAAACUCCCCUCUCCCCUGCGAAAGCGAGCAUUGCGGCUGGCAAAGCAACAAUGCCAGGCCUGCCUUCUUUCUUUUUUCUGGAUGUGCGUGUGUCUGUGAAAGCGCUUUUGUACCGACUGGAAGAGAGAACGGAAACGGCACGCAUUGUACAAAUGUCUCGGAUGAGAGCGAUAUCCCAGAGCGGUUGUCGCGAACGAUUGUUAGGCCCGGUUUUUGAGAGCGGGCUCGUUUUGGAAGAAAGAAGGUGCAGACGAGAGGCAAACGGGUACGCGGGGUUCCGCUUGGAGACGAAGAGGGCACCGGGUACCCGCCACGGUAACGCGCAAGGAAGGUCGAAUUACAUUCCGCUAACGAAAAGAAACCAGCUCUCAACGACAACAAUAUUUGCCUCCCGUUUGGAAUUCACCGAGUCAACGUAGCGGCGCUUCGGUUGGAAGAGAAAGGAGUGGUGGUGCCAGAAGAUGUGGCACGCAGUUUUUCGAAAUGAAAACAAAAAAAGAAAUGAAAGCUGUAUUCGUAUUGAAAGUUUUAAGAGGAAAUAAAAGACAUCAAAUGAG